rnacentral:rRNA from 1 species
UACGUAGGGUGCGAGCGUUAAUCGGAAUUACUGGGCGUAAAGCGUGCGCAGGCGGUUCGUUGUGUCGGCGGUGAAAGCCCCGGGCUUAACCUGGGAAUGGCCGUUGAAACUGGCGAACUGGAGUGUGGCAGAGGGGGGUGGAAUUCCGCGUGUAGCAGUGAAAUGGCGUAGAGAUGCGGAGGAACACCGAUGGCGAAGGCAGCCCCCUGGGCCAGCACUGACGCUCAUGCACGAAAGCGUGGGGAGCAAACAGG